CCUACGGGGCGCAGCAGUGAGGAAUAUUGGUCAAUGGACGCAAGUCUGAACCAGCCAUGCCGCGUGCAGGAAGACGGCUCUAUGAGUUGUAAACUGCUUUUAUACGAGGGUAAAUCCCGAUACGUGUAUCUGUUUGUAAGUAACGUACGAAUAAGGAUCGGCUAACUCCGUGCCAGCAGCCGCGGUACUACGGAGGAUUCGAGCGUUAUCCGGAUUUAUUGGGUGUAAAGGGUGCGUAGGAGGUUUGAUAAGUAAGUGGUGAAAUCCCGGGGCUCAACUCCAGCACUGCCUCUGAUACUGUCAGGCUAGAGUAUAGGUGCGGUAGGCGGAAUGUAUGGUGUAGCGGUGAAAUGCAGAGAGAUCAUGCAGAACACCGAUUGCGAAGGCAGCUUACCAAACUGCGACUGACGUUGAGGCACGAAAGCGUGGGGAGCAAACAGGAUUAGAUACCCCGGUAGUC
rnacentral:rRNA from 1 species